rnacentral:rRNA from 1 species
UGCGAAGGGGGCUAGCGUUGUUCGGAUUUACUGGGCGUAAAGCGCACGUAGGCGGAUCGAUCAGUUAGGGGUGAAAUCCCAGAGCUCAACUCUGGAACUGCCUUUGAUACUGUCGAUCUGGAGUAUGGAAGAGGUGAGUGGAAUUCCGAGUGUAGAGGUGAAAUUCGUAGAUAUUCGGAGGAACACCAGUGGCGAAGGCGGCUCACUGGUCCAUUACUGACGCUGAGGUGCGAAAGCGUGGGGAGCAAACAGG